GUAGGUGGUUUGAUAAGUUGGAUGUGAAAGCCCCGGGCUCAACCUGGGAAUUGCAUCCAAAACUGUCUGACUAGAGUAUGGCAGAGGGUGGUGGAAUUUCCUGUGUAGCGGUGAAAUGCGUAGAUAUAGGAAGGAACACCAGUGGCGAAGGCGACCACCUGGGCUAAUACUGACACUGAGGUGCGAAAGCGUGGGGAGCAAACAGGAUUAGA
rnacentral:rRNA from 1 species